UGUGUGUGGCGUGUGCAGAGAAAAGGCUUCCUCCGCAUCACUCUUGCGUACAGCAUCUCCUUGUGUAAAGUGCACGCAAUAGUUGUACGAUGCACAAUGACUCCAUCUGCAGCAAGAUCAUGU